UAUGGUUGUAUAGCCUGCAUGAUUUGUAUGGCUUGCGUGGCUUUCUGUUAUUUAUUUAUUUAUUAUUUUUGUUUUAUUUUAUUUUAUGUUAUUAUAUUAUAAGGUUUCUAACUCAUAUUUCUUGGAUUUUUGCAUGAGAUUUUUCAAUAAGGAGAUCUCCACACACAUGGCUGUCAUAUGGAUAUAAAAAAGAACAGAAAAAAAAAAAAAGGAAAGGUGGAUUGGCAAGCAAAAUAUAUUUUUUUGGAGGGAAAAUGGGGUCAACUUGGUUGCAUACGUAUGGAAGGAAGGGAUUCUACAUCAGGCAGAGAGGAAACUUUCAACCAUGCAGUACACACCAUUCGGGGGGAAUGUUUUCAAAAAGGCAACUAUUGAGAUUUCUUCCCAAUAGAUGGAAAUGAGAGGGUUACAAAUUAAAAAGAGGAAAAAUACACAGAAAGCAAAAAGGAAAGAAAGGAAAUGGGA
rnacentral:lncRNA from 1 species